AUGGCCAAAUAUUGGUGGGGGAGUUCCAUAGACAAAUGUACACUCCACUGGCUCUCUUGGGAUAAACUUGUGACACCCAAAGUGAAGGGCGGCAUGGGGUUCCAUGACAUGCAGGUGUUCAAUCUCGCAAUGCUCGGGAAACAUGUCUGGCAUCUUCUCACUAAACCGAAGUCCUUGUGCUCAUGAGUGCUUAAGGGAAAAUACUAUCCACACACUGACUUCCUCAAUGCGAGUGUUCCUGCUUGAGCCUCGGCUACGUGGAAAGCAAUUAUUGCAGGGAGAAAGGCCCUUGAAGUCGGGCUUAUCAAAAGAGUUGGCGACGGCUCCACUAUCUCCACUUGGACAGAUCCCUGGAUCCCU
rnacentral:rRNA from 1 species